GAUGAACGCUGGCGGCGUGCCUAAUACAUGCAAGUCGAGCGAACGGACGAGAAGCUUGCUUCUCUGAUGUUAGCGGCGGACGGGUGAGUAACACGUGGAUAACCUACCUAUAAGACUGGGAUAACUUCGGGAAACCGUAGCUAAUACCGGAUAAUAUUUUGAACCGCAUGGUUCAAAAGUGAAAGACGGUCUUGCUGUCACUUAUAGAUGGAUCCGCGCUGCAUUAGCUAGUUGGUAAGGUAACGGCUUACCAAGGCAACGAUGCAUAGCCGACCUGAGAGGGUGAUCGGCCACACUGGAACUGAGACACGGUACAGACUCCUACGGGAGGCAGCAGUAGGGAAGCUUCCGCAAUGGGCGAAGGCCUGACGGAGCAACGCCGCGUGAGUGAUGAAGGUCUUCGGAUCGUAAAACUCUGUUAUUAGGGAAGAACAUAUGUGUAAGUAACUGUGCACAUCUUGACGGUACCUAAUCAGAAAGCCACGGCUAACUACGU
rnacentral:rRNA from 1 species